CCCUAACCUCUAGAACUCGUCAAAUGUUUCAUUCUUCUAUUGAUGAGUCUAGUGUCGAAAGUCGUCUCCUUUUUGGCAUCACAAAUGUCUCCUCUUCGGCGCUCAAAAUCUCGACGAACUCUCCAAAUCUUGUCUUCGAAUCAUUAGCACAUCGAACUAUUUGUCUUCAUUAGAGCAUUGACGAUGGUUGACAGGAACCCGUCUUCUGUUCGGUGUCUCUCCUAUCCUGUGUUUUUCUUCAACACUAGCAUUUAAACAAAAUUUGUUUUCGGUUUAGGACAAGGAAUGUAGUUGACGAAGUUGUCUUACGUGUCAUCACCAAGUGAACUCCGCCACCAUCAAAGUCGCUACUAGAGUGAAAGUGGAAAAACGAUGCCUAUAUUGCUAUAAGGGAUUGCUACAAUGCUCGAAUAAUUGCUAACACUUCCUUUUGAGCUCACUAUUACAUGUCAGAAGCCCUAGAGCAGGUAAUCAAUAGUUUCUGCUUUAUGAGCUUAUAAUAUUUUUUGUAUAAAUAUCAUUUCCUGCAAUGACUAAAAUGUCCAUUUGGUUGUAUUUCAAAUGAUCUUAAUUGUUGUCUUCCUGGAUUAUGCUUUAAGGGAGAGGGAAUAAAAUCCUGGUCAUGAUACUUGAAUGUUGUGAUAUUGGGUAUCAAUUCUUAUUUUGGUGGUUAUCCUGGUAAUGCUUGAAAAGUAGCAUGUUAUAUUGAAUAUAUGUUGUGUGUUACUAGUAAUGUAGUAAGAUUUAUCAAUGAUUAUUAACAAUUAUGUUUCAAGCAAUUUGGUGCGAUGAAUUGAUUAAUAGAGAUUCUUUUUAUUGAAUAAUCUAACUAGUCCAUUGAAGUCUUGUUUCAAUGAUAGGUUUAGAAUCAUUGAAGAAUCAAAACAGAUUAAUAAGAAGUGAUCAUGUGUGUGGAGAAUAAAGUCAAACAUAAUAUUUUGAAAAAAUUUAAAAAAAAAAAAAGAUGCCAACUGUGUAGGAUGAAAACCCAGUUAAACGAUGCCAAUCACUAUCCAUUAUUAUUAUAUUAUUAGAUCCCAAGUCACUUUGUCUGCUUUCAAUAGUUUACCUUUGGUGGGGUUAGUGCACCGAAACCCAAUAAUUUUGCUUUCACUUCCUGUCUUAUUUGUCUACUCUGCUUGGAUCUGCAACUUGAAUUUUGUGUUAUUUAAAACGUUAAAGGCUAGGAAAAAUAUACAUAAAUAUAUAUUGUGUGAUGUAUUUAAACGUAUUUAUUCAUUUUCCUUUUCCUUGUAGGUCCUAUCUGUUGUUGAACUGCCUUCUGUUCACUUUCUUAUGGUUGAUUUCACUUUCUUUUCUUUCCUUCUUUUUUAUGUUAGGAAUUUCAUUAUUCAUUUGUGCCAAUCAUGAAUUCUUUUUUUUUUUUUAAACUUGUGGUUGUCAAAGUGUAGACUCAAAAUAAAUCGAUACCAAAAAAAAAAAAACAAAGCCAAUCAUAAACGAAAACUUAAGACCCAAAUGGGCAACCCCAAAACUCAAUUCAAAAAAAUAUUGAAACUCGUGCUUGAACAUAUCAGGUCUGGUUUAAUUUGCCUAAUUAUAAUUGUUUUAAUAAAAAAUCAGUAGUAUUAUAGUUUAAUGAGAUGUUUAUAUUGAAUUAUAUAGGUCAAGAAUUUAAUCUUAAAUGCCAGUGAACAGAAUUUAAACGCAUAUAGAACACUUGCACAAUUAGGGGUAAUCGGUAAACAAAAAGGAAUCAUAUUACUAGUAGGUUUCAAAGCAUUUACAAGCUGUCCAAGGAUUUAAAAUUCCACUUAGAAAUUCACGGUUUCACCUAAAGCUUCGAAGGGCUCUUCGUUUUGUGUUCAGUGGAGAGUUUCUUCUUAAAUUUCUCAAAUUAAUUGAGACACAAGCACUGGUUGUCCUGAUUCUGCUGGAAUUAAUGUACAAGCAAGGGCUGGGCUGUUGCUAAGGGUGGAUUCGAAUCGAGUUUAUUCGAGCUCGAUAUCGAGUUCGGCUCGUUCGAGCCCGAGAUGAGCUAAGGAUUCCCGAGCCUGAGCUCAAGCUUUAAGCCGAGCAGCUCGACUCGGCUCGCAAACCAUGUAUUCUUCACGCAAACCGCGUCGAUUUUGGUUGGAUUAAAAGAAAUGAAAAUUGGUGGCUUUCUUCACUUUCAUUUGCGUCUGUCUCCUAGUCCUUCAUUACAACUUAAAAAAAGCUCCAGACUACAGCCUUGAAUCUUAUGUUCUAGCCUUAGUUCUCCGUCCUCGGUGGAACGGUUUGUGUUUUCCAUUUUUGAACUUUGAUUUUGUUAAUUUUUAGCUUAACUUUGUUGAGCCCUAACUUUGUAAUUAAGAUUUCUGAAUUGGGGGUUUUAUUAUACUUGCUUAUUUGUGUUGUAGGCUUGCUCUUGUGGAUUUCGUUUUGUGGCUUGUGAUGAUUUUGAAAUUGGUUUGUUUCAAUUAUUCUAAUUAAACAUUGAACUCUAUUUUGAAAUUGGUUUGCUUAUUUUGGAGAAGAACCGCAUUUUGUUUUUGUUGUUUUAGUGUAGAACCAAUUUCCAGAAGAUUAUCUAUUGAAUAUUUAUUGUUGUUGGUUUGCUUAUUUUGGAGAAGAACCGAAUAUUUAUUGCUUAUAUUUGUUGUUUUUGUUGUUUGAAAUUGGCUGGGUUUAAAUCUGUGGAGGAAGUCGCAAAAGAGCCUUCGAAUUCAAGUUCAGAUACAAAGAAAAGUGAAAAGAAUUUGACCCCAGAAGGAAACCAAGAUUCAAAGAAUCAGAGGC